CCCGGUCGGGCCAGAUGGGAAGGCAGACGCCUCAUAAGCGUAAGACGAGCGAGUUCGAUUCUCGCGACCGGGAC
rnacentral:tRNA from 2 species